AACGAACGCUGGCGGCAUGCCUAACACAUGCAAGUCGAACGAUCCCUUCGGGGAUAGUGGCGCACGGGUGCGUAACGCGUGGGAACCUGCCCUUAGGUUCGGAAUAACUCAGAGAAAUUUGAGCUAAUACCGGAUAAUGUCUUCGGACCAAAGAUUUAUCGCCUUUGGAUGGGCCCGCGUUGGAUUAGCUAGUUGGUGGGGUAAAGGCCUACCAAGGCGACGAUCCAUAGCUGGUCUGAGAGGAUGAUCAGCCACACUGGGACUGAGACACGGCCCAGACUCCUACGGGAGGCAGCAGUGGGGAAUAUUGGACAAUGGGCGAAAGCCUGAUCCAGCAAUGCCGCGUGAGUGAUGAAGGCCUUAGGGUUGUAAAGCUCUUUUAACCGGGAUGAUAAUGACAGUACCGGGAGAAUAAGCCCCGGCUAACUCCGUG
rnacentral:rRNA from 1 species